UGCUUCGGCGCCUCGGCGUCGAGUUUAUGCUGCAGUUGGUAGUUUGCGUCUGAAUCAAACCGAAGAACAUAAAACUUUCAACAGAGGAUCUCUUGGCUCUUGUAUCGAUGAAGAACGCAGCAAAGCGCGAAAUGUAGUGAACAUAGCAGCACAAUUGUGAAUCAUCGAAUCUUUGAACGCACAUUGCGCCUCCGGUAGCUCGGAGGCAUGCCUGUCUGAGCGUCAUUUAAAACCAUGGACCCAGGAUUGGGUCCGUAUUGGGCGUCGCCCCCCUCUCCAGAGUGGCGCGUGGCCUCAAAGACAUUGGUCUCACAUGCGGACGAGCUCCCCUGGGACAGACCGCGUGGAGACCCUAAGCAUCUGACUUUGAUCUCAGAUCAGGUAGGACUACCGCCUGAACUUAAGCAUAUCACAAUAAGCGGAGGA
rnacentral:rRNA from 1 species